CAUAAGUCCUAGAAUGUAAUAUUAAUCAUCAAUCAAUGCAAAUGUCAGGAUUCCUACUCUAUUGGUUCUCUCAAAAUUUAAAUUGUACCAAGUUUGAUACCAUUUCGUACACAUAAAUUUGAAAUUAACUUUAGUUGUGUCCCAGAACCUACAAAUUAGUACUAAUUAGUGCUAAUUCUACUAUAACGCGUUGCCGCACUCCAAAAACUAGCAAAACUUACAGCUCUCUCUCGAAAAUGGCACUGAGUGGUGCACAUUUCUGUCUGUUUUAGCUACAUGAAUUUGGCCGAGCAGAAAUGUGCAAAUUGUAAAUUUUACAUUUAAUUGGCAGGGCUAACAAGGUUGAAAAAAAUAUUUAUACAUUUCAAAGUUCGCGCGUAACAACAAAUGUAAAGAAAAAAGAUAAACUUAAAAACUAAAGUAAAACUAAUAUUUGUCGUGCAAAAAACAAAAAGAGAAAAUAUGGAGCAACUGAUGUAUUUCCAUUUGGAUGAUUCCAGGAGUGAAGAGGACUGGCUGAAUGAGGAAUCAGGCGAAGAAAACGUUGGCUGUCUUCCCAACUUGUGGCAUUUAGUCUUCUAGCAGACUUAAAAUUAAUUUAACCGGCGCCUCCAACCAUGUCAGCUUCUCCGGUGUUGGGAUUUGAGAAAACUCCACCUCUAAAUACUCUUCAACCCAUUCUGAAAAAAAAUUUUCUAAAUAAACAGCAUUUAAAAAUAA